rnacentral:rRNA from 1 species
AUGCAUGUCUCCUGGGCUCCGACCUCCUUUUCUGACCUGCGCAUCUUGGCCAAUUCUUUGGUUGGGGCCCAGAGGAGAUUGUUUUGGGUGGGCUUCGCAGCCAUGUGCUGGUCUCUUUGGACGACAAGGAAUAAAUUUACUGUCGAACAUGUUUUCCCCGCUAAGCCUGCUGAUUGCUUAUUUAAGACUUGUAUAUUCCUACAGCAGUGGAGAUUAUUGACUAAGGAGGAGGAUAGGGACGCCCUCGACGCCAUGUUGGCCAAGAUCCGGAAUUCUGUCUUCUCCAUCUCCCCAGUUCAAGCAGGCACUUAG